CUACGGGGUGCACCAGUGAGGAAUAUUGCACAAUGGGGGGAACCCUGAUGCAGCAACGCCGCGUGGAGGAUGACGCAUUUCGGUGUGUAAACUCCUUUUAUAUGUCAAGAAAAUGACGGUAGCAUAUGAAUAAGCACCGGCUAACUCCGUGCCAGCAGCCGCGGUAAUACGGAGGGUGCAAGCGUUACGCGGAAUCACUGGGCGUAAAGGACGCGUAGGCGGGUUGGAAAGUCAGGUGUGAAAUCCUACAGCUUAACUGUAGAACUGCACUUGAAACUUCUAAUCUAGAGUAUGGAGGGGGAGAUGGAAUUAGUGGUGUAGGGGUAAAAUCCGUAGAUAUCACUAGGAAUACCUAAAGCGAAGGCGAUCUCCUGGAACAUUACUGACGCUAAGGCGUGAAAGCGUGGGGAGCAAACAGGAUUAGAUACCCGAGUAGUC
rnacentral:rRNA from 1 species